GGGCAGCAGGGUAGCAAUACCUGUUGGCGACCGGCAAACGGGUGAGGAACAUGUACGCAACCUUCCUUUAAUUGGAGAAUAGCCCCUCGAAAGAGGGAUUAAUACUCCGUAACAUAUUGAUAAGGCAUCUUGUUAAUAUUAUAGCUCCGGCGGUUAAAGAUGGGCGUGCACCUGAUUAGAUAGUUGGCGGGGUAAUGGCCCACCAAGUCUGCGAUCAGUAACUGGUGUGAGAGCACGACCAGUCACACGGGCACUGAGACACGGGUCCGACUCCUACGGGAGGCAGCAGUAAGGAAUAUUGGUCAAUGGACGCAAGUCUGAACCAGCCAUGCCGCGUGGAGGAUUAAGGCCCUCUGGGUUGUAAACUCCUUUUAUCUGGGAAGAAAUGUACUUUUUCUUGAGUACUUGACGGUACCAGAGGAAUAAGCACCGGCUAACUCCGUGCCAGCAGCCGCGGUAAUACGGAGGGUGCAAGCGUUAUCCGGAUUCACUGGGUUUAAAGGGUGCGUAGGUGGGCAGGUAAGUCAGUGGUGAAAUCUCCGAGCUUAACUCGGAAACUGCCGUUGAUACUAUUUGUCUUGAAUAUUGUGGAGGUAAGCGGAAUAUGUCAUGUAGCGGUGAAAUGCUUAGAUAUGACAUAGAACACCAAUUGCGAAGGCAGCUUACUACACAAUUAUUGACGCUGAGGC
rnacentral:rRNA from 1 species